rnacentral:rRNA from 1 species
AGUGAACGCUGGCGGUAGGCCUAACACAUGCAAGUCGAACGGCAGCACAGUAAGAGCUCGCUCUUACGGGUGGCGAGUGGCGGACGGGUGAGGAAUACAUCGGAAUCUACUUUUUCGUGGGGGAUAACGUAGGGAAACUUACGCUAAUACCGCAUAUGAUCUACGGGUUAAAGCAGGGGUUCUUCGGACCUUGCCCGUCUCAAUUAGCUGAAGUCGGAUUAGCUUGUUGGCGGGGUAAAGGCCCACCAAGGCGACGAUCCGUAGCUGGUCUGAGAGGAUGAUCAGCCACACUGGAACUGAGACACGGUCCAGACUCCUACGGGAGGCAGCAGUGGGGAAUAUUGGACAAUGGGCGCAAGCCUGAUCCAGCCAUACCGCGUGGGUGAAGAAGGCCUUCGGGUUGUAAAGCCCUUUUGUUGGGAAAGAAAAGCAGCAGAUUAAAACCCCGCUGUUCUGACGGUACCCAAAGAGAAAGCACCGGCUAACUUCGUG